GGGGAAUUUUCCGCAAUGGGCGAAAGCCUGACGGAGCAAUACCGCGUGAGGGAAGAAAGCCUACUGGGUUGUAAACCUCUUUUUUCAGGGAGGAAAAAAAUGACGUGUACCUGAAGAAUAAGCAUCGGCUAACUCCGUGCCAGCAGCCGCGGUAAGACGGAGGAUGCAAGUGUUAUCCGGAAUUACUGGGCGUAAAGCGUCUGUAGGUGGUUUAAUAAGUCAACUGUUAAAUCUUGAGGCUUAACUUCAAAACAGCAGUCGAAACUAUUAGACUAGAGUAUAGUAGGGGUAAAGGGAAUUUCCAGUGGAGCGGUGAAAUGCGUAGAUAUUGGAAAGAACACCGAUGGCGAAAGCACUUUACUGGGCUAUUACUAACACUCAGAGACGAAAGCUAGGGUAGCAAAUGGGAUUAGAUACCCCAGUAGUCCUA
rnacentral:rRNA from 1 species